rnacentral:tRNA from 1 species
GCCCAGGUAGCUCAGUUGGUAGAGCAGGGGAUUGAAAAUCCCCGUGUCGGCGGUUCGAUUCCGUCCCUGGCGCA